rnacentral:tRNA from 1 species
CCUUCGAUAGCUCAGUUGGUAGAGCGGAGGACUGUAGGUAGCUUGCUCGUGGUCAUCCUUAGGUCGCUGGUUCGAAUCCGGCUUGAAGGA